rfam:Canis lupus familiaris chromosome X, whole genome shotgun sequence.
GUGCUCCAUUUGGCAGCACAUAUACUGAAAUUGGAACGAUACAGAGAUUAGCAUGGCCCCAGGGCACAUUUGUGAAGCGUUCUAUUUAAAA